rnacentral:rRNA from 1 species
GGGUGACGAAGCGACGCCGCGUGGGUGAGGAAGGCCUUCGGGUUGUAAAGCCCUGUCAGGAGUUAAGAAAUGUAGAUACGCUAAUAUCGUAUCUAUUUGACAAAGGCUCCAAAGGAAGCCACGGCUAGCUCUGUGCCAGCAGCCGCGGUAAUACAGAGGUGGCAAGCGCUGUUCGGAAUUAUUGGGCGUAAAGAGCACGUAGGUGGAUUUGUUAGUCAGAUGUGAAAGCCUUCUGUUCAACGGAAGAAUUGCAUCUGAAACUACAAACCUUGAGUAUAGGAGGGGAGAGUGGAACUUCUGGUGGAGCGGUGAAAUGCGUAGACAUCAGAAGGAACGCCGGCGGCGAAAGCGACUCUCUGGCCUAUAACUGACACUGAGUGUGCGAAAGCUAGGGGAGCAAACGGGAUUAGAUACCCCGGUAGUCCUAGCCGUAAACGAUGGGCACUAAGUAGAGG